rnacentral:lncRNA from 1 species
CAAACUUGGGUAUGAGUAGCAACUCUACAUUAUGAAAUAGAAGUGAGAUUUCACACAAGUAGGACUUAAGCAAGUUGUAUGAGCAGAUGACUGAGACUCUUACAACACCUACUACAGCCUGAGAAAUGGGCAGGUGUCACAGUGUGAAUGAAUUGAACUUAAUGCACUGAUAACUUCAGUCUCCAAAGGUGACUGCUGUGAGAAUGACUGUUCCUGGAAGCAUUAAGUCCCAAAUGUACUCAUCUCCUUGCUUGCAUUAUGUCCAGCCCCAGGGCUAAUUUCAACAAGACCUGCACAUUAUUUGGUGUUAUUUCCAGUCUUCUUUCUAUUUGUUUUUCUUGUCUAUUCAAAGAAGAAUUUGCACAGCCUGAAUUAGUGAAGAGAAUGAAGGUGGAGAGGCAAAUAUCCAAUAUUAGAUAACUCACUCACAGGCCGAUUGGAUUAAACAUCCUUGACAUUGGACUUAAUAAAAAGAAAACAGGGAUCUGCACUUAAAUGCAGGAAUGAACAUAGAGAGAAAAUAUACAAACCUCUAUAGUUUAGUUUCUGUGAAGAUAAGCCAAGCUGCC